rnacentral:rRNA from 1 species
CUACGGGGCGCAGCAGUGAGGAAUAUUGCGCAAUGGGCGAAAGCCUGACGCAGCAACGCCGCGUGGAUGAUGAAGGCCUUCGGGUUGUAAAAUCCUUUUUUGGGGAACGAUAAUGACGGUACCUCAAGAAUAAGUCCCGGCUAACUACGUGCCAGCAGCCGCGGUAAAACGUAGGGGGCGAGCGUUAUCCGGAUUUACUGGGCGUAAAGCGCACGUAGGCGGUGCCGUAAGUUGGAUGGGAAAGCUCCUGGCUUAACUGGGAGAGGUCGUUCAAAACUGCGGUGCUUGAGGAUAGAAGAGGAGAGUAGAAUUCCCGGUGGAGUGGUGGAAUGCGUAGAUAUCGGGAGGAAUACCAGUGGCGAAGGCGGCUCUCUGGUCUAUACCUGACGCUGAGGUGCGAAAGCGUGGGGAGCGAACGGGAUUAGAUACCCGAGUAGUC